ensembl:lncRNA
GUGAGUAUGUUGCCCGCAACUGCUCUGAAGGGCCCAGAGGCCACAUUGGUGUGCUAUGUAAUACAUGCCGCAGAUGUGAAGGUAUGCAACAAUAAAUUUCAUGAAUGUUAACACAACUAAGAUUGAAAUAGGCUAUAUUGCUCUAACAACAAUAAAACUAUUUCCUCCCCCAAACUACAGAAAUUGGAGAGGUAACUGUUUCCAAUUGCACACAGUUUUCAGACACACAGUGUGCCAGCAUACACAGUAAGUAUUACAAUUACCUUGCAAUUUUGUCAGUUUUUCAAACAUUAUAUGACAUGUAUGCCUUGUAACUUCUCUUUAAAUGUUUCUUUAGUAUAAAUUGUUAUGUUAUUGCGUCCGCUCGCACAACAUUUGCAUUCAUUCUAAAAACAUUUGUCACUAUUGUGUUCCCCCAAGAAACUUUGAAAUAUAUUUCAUAUAAUAAGGUUUGCCCACUGAAGGCACCUUAAGUGAAAAUUAUUAUUGAAUAACUUUCAAUCAACUUCUCUUUAAAACUGCUUAGGGGUGGGCUCAUAAAAUCGUAAAGCCUGAUACACAUAAUUUUUAUCAUGGCAGAGAAACACAUCACCUAAUAGUAAUUCUGGCUAAAAAAUGUUUGUCACUAGACCAAAUCUUUAGGAACUGAAUUUCAUAAUCCUUAACAUCACUGUAGAUGAGGUGACUUGACUAUUUGUUAAAUUGCAUGUAUUUGUGUACUAUGCAUACAUACUUGUUAAUCGCCAUCUUCCCUCUUCCCCCCUUAUGAAAAGCGCAACAGAUAACCAUGUAAGUUUAUCUUUUUUAUUAUCCUCUUUCCUUUGCAAAAAUUAAAUUCAUGGCAAGUUUAAUUUCUAAUAAAAUAUUAAACAAAUCCUCAGGCAUGGUUGCUCGUCUGUGAUAGCCGCUGUUGUCAUUCUGGGUGUGAUUCUGGCAGCCUGCUUCUUUCGCAGAAUCAGUAAAUCUGGUGAAUCUGAUGGAGGCUCUGCAGGCCGGGGUAUACUCCCGAUACUCCACUCUACUCCCCCAUCCGAUCAUUGCAGCCACGGUGUGCCUAAAUAGCGGACUGCUCUCGCGUCUUGUACAGUGUAUGGCAAAAACACAUAAACGAAGGUCUACAUUUCACUGUCUCUUCAUAUUAAACUGGUUAAAUGUAAAUAAAUGUAAUUGUACCCUGCGAUACAUGAACAGUGUUGAUCCGGAUGUUGUUAUCUGCGAUCGUGACGAACGUAACACGAGGCUUCUCCCGCUUGCACUUUGAACUGUUACCCUCGCUUCCAAAUUAAUACCCACAAUAUAUUAUGUUAAAAUCUGUUAUAUAUCCCUCCAUGGCUUAUUUAAGUCCCACUUGAAUGGGGGUCCUCCUGUGUCCAAAAAUCAUCAAAAAGAUAUAGGGACAAGGUUUUCACACUGACAGCUGUCAUUGUAAGACAGUUAGCAACUCCGUUUGUUUGUCCGAGUUCGCAACAGUAACUAAGGUGGGCGGGGCUUACCGAUAGGUCAAUUGCGACACCAGAGGUUCCGGAUUAGACCUCUGUCGCAUAGCAACGGUGUGAGAGGACAAUCCUUUUACGUCAUAAUGGAGGAGACGGUGACGUACCUCAGGCUUAGCCAAGAUCGAGGCCAGGUAAGUUACAAGUCCCUUUAGUUAAGGUUUUAAAUAUGACUAGUAGUUUUUCCCCAAUGUGGUAUUAUUAGUUACUAAAAGUAGUUUACUAAAGUAUCUUAAUAUUUCUUCUACUAAUUACUUUGUAAUAACUCUGAACUGUUUCUCUUUUUUCUCUUUCCCUAAAUCAGGCCAGACCCAUGUACUGCAGGAUAAAGCGUGCCAGCGCUGGACAGGUGUUUAAUGGUUUUGGGCUGAGCAGGGAGGCUCAGGAUCUUCUGAGAACUGAACAGCAACACGGAUGGGGUGCCACAGUCCAGACCCUGGUGUUUCUCUUCUGUCCGCCAGUGGUACAUCAUACAGAGUGGUCUCCAGAGUAAUUGAAAUGCCUCGUUCCACUGUCCGAGUCGCUGAGGAGGUGCUGACCAUUCACCAAGAGAUUCACCUCCUGAAGACCCCAGAACACAUGGAGGCAGGGCUGGGUUCAAAACUGAUGUUGUUUUUUAUGAUGUUAAACCUAAGCUAUGUUGUAAAAAAUACUUUCAGUAAUGCAUUGAACUAUUUGUUUUAAUGUGUAAAAAAUUUAUUUACAGGACAAAAAUAAAAAUAAUAAAUAAAUAAAUAAAUAAAUAAAU